AAAAAAAAAACAGCGUGUAUGAUCCCCCGCAAAAAUCUACUGAUUGCAAAAGCUAUACUAGCGAGAACGUGCGAGUGAGCCGAAUCGCAUGAAGAACCCUCAUUCCGGCUCGCUCGGCUGAAGUUCUCGUUCUCGAAGGAAUUUUCUUCAAACCGUAUGCCGUAAAGGCCUCGGCGAUUCGGCGCACUGGUAGGCUGGUUUUUGUGUGUGCGCGUGUGUGUGUUUGCGCUUUCCGUUGGUUUGACGGACGGGGGGUUUCGAACUCUCCGUCCGAGAAAGCGAUUGAGAUGUUCUUAUUGCUCGUUUGCUCACUCACCCUGCUCAAGAUGGUGUGUGCUAGCUACCCCGUUUCCACUUCCGGAGUACUAUGCUCCAACCUGCGUGUAUGUCUCCCCAUCCCCACAUGCUCCACAACCCCUUUUGAAUGUUUUUGGGUAAGUGUAUUUGUGUGCUGCUUUCUCACUUUUGCUCAUACCACCGUGCUGGACGUUUUCGCUCGUGGAACAAAGAGCAACAGCUUCACACCGCGCGCGCAUCAUCAUCAACGCCACCGUACCGCGGUUAUCAUCAACAGCAUCAUCAUCAUCAUCAUCAUCAUCAUCAUCAUCACCAGCAGCAGCAGCAGCAUGAUUAGCAGCCAGCCAGCUUAUUAGCCUUGAAGGCGGUGAAGGAGCGAAAGAAAGAGCGACGGUUUCGUUCGAUCAUCGCCACCAUCGUUCGGCAACAUGUUUUUCCAUUCGGUCCGGUUCUCCACCCGAACGGGCGAGAGGACGCACCGACGACGUCCGACUAACCGGGGAUAUCGGGUUCGGGUUCCCGGGUUCCGCCGUGUUCGGUCGGGCUUCGCGCUCGCAGUACAUAUCUUUUAUGUAUUUAUGUUGGUUGCGUUCUCUGCCGUUUUGUUAUUACCUCGAAAAACCAGUCGAUUUCGUUUCAGUCUUCAUACAGUCUUCGCUUUAACCCGUUCCAAUCUAUCCGCCGCUCUCACAGUUAUCAGUAUACAACAAAACAACAACAAUAACAACAUAUUAAUAUCUUAACAAAAGUUUGUAACACUAACGCGCGCCAGUAUCGGUCCAGCAAUCGCAUCUUAACAAACGGUUGAGUGUACGGAUGUUUUUUUUCUUUCUUUCUUUCUAUCAAACGACCGAUCGGUACUUAAGAGUUGCUGGUUUUUUUUAUUGUUUUGCUUUACUCUUACUGCUCUUGGUAAAGUUAGAUCCGGAAACAGGGAAUUUCUUGCCAUUGCUGUAACAUCCACAAUUCGUACGAUCGCAGCAUUCAGAUCUUUAGUGUGUGUGAGCGUGUGUGAGACUGUGUUUUUAUCGCCCUUCUUUUCUGCAAAAACAGAAAUCUAAAGUUGAGCUUUAAUUCUUACGUUUUUUUGGAACCGAAAAAAGCGAUCACACAGUUUCCGUGUGUGUGCAACUUUUUUUUUGGUGUAAAGCAUUCCUUUCAGUGCGUGUGAGUGCGUGAACGUCUUCGUCGUGAAGGUGCCGCAUUGAAACAGCGUGAGUGUUGUGUAAAGUGUCGCCUGUGCGUCUAAGUGUUUCUCCACGUUUCGUGCCAAAAGUUUCGUGCUCCGUUUUUCGUACCGGUCACAGCCACCUCCACCCCAACACACCACACCUCCUACCAUCCCGCGGAGCGUUUUCCCCUUGUUGUCGGUUGUUUGCUUAAGUAAGUUCUGUUCAUCCUAUCGUUCGCGGAAGGAAGGAUUCACGAUCCUCCGAGUGCAAACCUUAAGUUAUACACCGCAGAAAGACAUCCAGCGGAGGGACCACGUACGCCCGUUCCAGCGCAUCACUGUGCGUUUCUUUGCGUGCGUGUUUUAUGGUUGAGUGAGUGUGUGCGUGUUCGUAGUGGUGGUACGUCGACAUAAAACAUCCGAGAGGAGGAGACAACAACGUAUAAAAGAGAGGGGUCGAAUCAACCUAACCUGACACAACCAGAAGCUGAAGCGUUCCCCAAUAAAAAAAAAAAACAAAAUAACAAAAAUCCCUUCACGAAUUCACAACACAAAGUCAAAGGGAGCAGCAACGUGCAUAACAACGUGCGGACGCCCUUGCGUGGUGUAUCCCUAUUGUGACCCGCCUACCCUUUUCACACGCUUUUCCUCCUCCGAGGUUCCCGAAACCCCAAACCUCCACCAGGAACCAAGUCCCCUCCGGCCCUGUAUCAGAAAACACGCUUACCUUGGUCCAAUCACAGACAAGCAAAAAAAAAACACUCGCGCCACGUAUACCGCGGUGUGGUUGUACGGUUUGGGUCACGAACGUUUCGCCCCGUUAAAGCAAAAAGGACGCGAAACCAAUUGGCGGUACAAAGCAAAACAAUAUCAUAUAUAUACGGGACGAAAGCGUUAAGUGUGUAACAGGUUAGUUUUGACUGGGUUAUGAUAUGAGACCCGCUUGCUGCUGCUACUGAUCGCACUGGAAAAAAAAACUUGCUGGCGAAGAAGAAAACAUAAUCCAAUUGCCACAAACUUCAUUACGAAAGGGGUCACAACGGUUCUCUGAGACUCGGCAUCCAGGAUCAUUGCAUACGUGACGCGUUUAGGUUCUCUUAAAGAAAAAAAAACCACCCAAAACAAACCCGAAACAAACAUUAAAAUUACACCCCAAAAACGCUUGAUCGCUAGCUUGAUCGCGCUCGUUCGUCCGCGUUUGCCAGACGCGCUUUGUGCAAUUUACACACAGGGGUUGAAACCACGUUGCCGUGUGAAGGAAAAACGUGCGGACGGGGUGGUGAUAUUUUCAACUGCAAAUCAUUCUCGCAUUCCUUCCUGUGUGUUAUUUUUUGCGAACAAACCACACACACACGCCCCAAUAGCUGCGUCGUGCUUUUUGGGCAAUUUUGGAAUCAUUCGCGUGUACACUCCUGAGUGUCUGUGUGUGUGUAUUCUUCAACUUCUUCUCUGUUGUUGUUGUUGAUAGAUAAGAAGACGCUAGCGAAAAGAAACGAAAGGAGAAGCAAACGGGUUUAAAUAGAAGAAAGCAACAACCAAAAAAAAAACAAGUCAGCUAAUGAGCGGCUAGAGAACGAAGAACGUGAAGUCUACCAAACAAAUCAACUAAAAACUUUUAGAGAAAAGAAAAAGGAAGAACAAAAACACAAACAUAAAAAUCAUAAAGAAACAUAUCAGGAAAAGUAGCAGGAAAAGAAGGGAGGGAAAAAAAACAUUGAGGAAAUAGACCGGGGAGCAAACGAUCAAGUGGUGGAAAAAUCGAAACCGAACCCAAAGCCAAUACACACAUAUACACACACGCGGUAACGCUGUGGGUAAUUGUCUUCUUCUUCUUCUUUCUCUUACACUAAGACCAAAGAAGGGAGAGUACGGUCGAAGAUUCUUAGGCCUUUUGAUGAGCUGGACGGUGGGCUAUAGUUUUUCUUACUGAGCAAGUGUAUGUGUGAGUGCGUAUGUCUGCGAAGGGUGUGUUUAGGGUGUGCGACUAAAGAGAAUUCCACCCCGUGUCAGGUGUAUGUGUGUGAAUGUGAGUUUGUGAGCGUAUAAAAGAAACAAAAGGGGUGGAAAAAGGUAGACGGGCCGAAGGUGAAAAGCCAGAACUGAUCGUAGUUGCGUGUUUUCUGGCUUGUGAUCUUCUUCAAAGAUCACAUUCUCUCGCUCCCAAACAGCUAGAUAGUGUGUGUGCAUGAUUACGCUGAAGAAGAGCAGUUAAAAAAGGAAGGUGUAUGAAGGGUGUGAGGUCGAAAGCAUAAAGCCAAACAAGCAAAGGAAAGAAAAAAAGCGGAAACAGCGCUACAGGGUCAGGUGUGUAUCAGACCAAACCAGAGAGAUAUAUCUACGCAAUACAGCCAAAGCUUGAAAAAGCAACUCAAAAAAAAGGUGCGAAGGAAGGUACAGUAAGACGAAGAAAAAUAAAACACACUCACACGACUCGAACCAAAACGUUUGAAAAGCAGCAGGGUUUGUUGUUCAUUUUAAAGGUUCGCAUCAGAAGACGGUGUAUUUUACCUACACCCGGUCAAGUCGGCAAAGGAAAAGGGCACAUACACACAUAAGCAUAACAACGUGUCCGGGUUGGUACGAAACCGACGAGUGAAGAAAAAUCUUCCUCUGACGCGCGGCAUUACUUCAUGAUUCCUCCUGCUUUUGGGGCGUGCGUGGUUCGAAUCGAAGAUCGUCGACCGUGCAGACAACCCGACCGAAAAACCGGUUCCAGCCAUAAUCAAAAAUAAUUACCAACCAAUACAACCCGGUUUUGCCUCACAAACACACCGGUAACCGUUUGCGUGAUCUUUCCGCUUCUCGCGCGUUGAUGUCGGUUUGAUUCUGUGGAUGUGUGUGCUAUUGCGUACACAACACACCGGUUGAUCAGCAGCACACGGGGCACGGUGUGGGUUUCUGUUCUGUUCUGAAGUCGUCUUUCGUAGUCGUCUGUGGUAGCGCCCUGGUAAAGAAGCGGACAGAGCGAAAGACGUGUACAGCGGAACGACUCUGCGCGGAAGUUGAAGAUCAUCAGAAGUAAUCCCGCAUCCAUUCGAACCCGUUCUACUUGUACGGAACUGCUCGGUUGGUGUAAAACGUUUUUUUUUGCGAUCGGGACAGAUUUUUGGGUGCAAAGUUUUAACUUAACCUAACCUAACCAACUUGUGAAUCCUUCCGCACAAUUGGCGCGUGUGUGAAUUCUCCCCGAAUAGCCUGUUUUUUUUCCAAAGACGUGAGUGUUUGUAUGAGUGCGUGUUUCGGUUGUGUGUGGUGUGCUGGACCUGAAACGAUCCAAAAAGGCAGGGUGUGUAUUCGUGUAGGACGACGUCACCCAUCGUGUUAAUACGUCAGGUGUGACGACAGGUGUAUAGGAAACAGUUUUGUAGAGUAAUUAGCCAAAAGAAGAAAAAAACUGAGCCCAUAGCUUGUAGCGAUAUAAGAGAGAUUGGUGAAUGCAUCUAGCUUUACGAUAGCGUACUAUAGGUGUAGAAAGCAAUUGUGCGUGGCAAAGUUUAGUGGUAAGCAAACUACUCCUUAGAUAAGACAAUCCAGCGUGAUCAACCCACGCGAGGAUCGACAAUCAAAAGAAGCGCGUUUUGACAAUCAUCAAAUAUAUCAAAGGCACUUUUGACGUACGUGUCGGUACUCGAAACGGUGACAAUCUCUAGACUCUAUACUCUACGUACCAAUCUAUAGACCUAGCGCGAGAGCAUCCGGUUCCGAGACAACUGUACUUGUUUCGACUUUUGUAUCUUCUUGCGAUCGACAGAAGAUCGGUCGCUACACGAAGUUGAGACUUUUGGGGCUAUUGGGCUCGUCUCGUAAGGUCACUUUCGACAAUCACGGUAUAACCACAGUCGUGUUGUGCUGACAAUCUCUAGACAAUCUAUAUCUCAAGUAGCGAACUUUACACUGUCUUUUUCACUUUCUAUUGUGGAGUGUUGGAGUAUACUCCCGCUCUCUUAGUAAUAAAGCUGUAGGCUCUAGUCUGUAAGGUAAGAAGGAAGAUCAAUUAUAUAGAGAAAUUUUUGGAGUGCAAUUAUAAACCAAAACGUGUCUAGCUUUAAGGUUAGUUUUCCCCUCCCUCAAAAAGUUGUGAACGAAAAGAAGAAGUAGCGAAUUGCGCCAUCUACAGCUCACAAACCGGGUUGUUUGGUGUGAAGAGAAUCUAAAGAGUUACAGUGCGCGUGU